rnacentral:rRNA from 1 species
UUCUUCGGAUGAAGAGGUUUGUGACUGAGUGGCGGACGGGUGAGUAACGCGUGGGUAACCUGCCCAUGUGCCCGGGAUAACUUCUGGAAACGGAUGCUAAAACCGCAUAAGCUCACAGAGCCACAUGGCUCAGAGAGAAAAACUCCGGUGGUACGAGAUGGACCCGCGUCUGAUUAGCUAGUUGGUGAGGUAACGGCUCACCAAGGCGACGAUCAGUAGCCGGCCUGAGAGGGUGAACGGCCACAUUGGGACUGAGACACGGCCCAAACUCC